AGUGUCUAUGCUGCGCUCCUUGCAGUUUGCACUGCGGGGCUCUGGUGAAACGGGAACAAUCUCUGGGGGAUUUGGGUGGGGUGAUUUUGUCACGAUGACGGCUGGUUAUAGACGACAGAUAGGACGGGGUCCCGUGAAGAUGAAUUAUGUACCAGGGCAUGUGUGUGUGUGUGUUUUGUGUGUGUGUGUGUGUGUGUUCAGAUUGGAGACGCCGGAUGCGCCUGUUACAUUUCGUUGAGUGACAAAACACCAGCCAGUGGCAGCAGUCGAGAGCCUGGUGUGUGUGAUGAACCAGGAGAUGGCCACCAGAAUGGGGCUGAACAGGGUGGUCCGGGUCAUUGGAGAGGUGUACGACAGAACUCAGGGGGCCCUGGAGGAGCAUGGCAUGAAGCAAUCACACAAUGAUAUGCAGUGGUAUAAUGUACUUAGUACUGGUCUAUCUCCACUAGAGGUCACAGUGCUAUACUACAGAAGCACAUCACUCUCACUCAACCCUGAAGUGAGUGACUAAGUCAUUUAAAUGAGCAUUUGUGACAUAAUCCCUUCUACCUCACAAGCACUCACCACUCACUUGGACACAUGCUGUGAAUGGCAUAAUACCACCAUUGAAGAGAUUUCUGAAUGUAAGCUACAAUGACUUUUUGACCUCAGAAUAUAUUUGGGCGAAUGAACUGUAAUUAAAAAAACUAUUAAUAACCA